rnacentral:rRNA from 1 species
GACGAACGCUGGCGGCGUGCCUAAUACAUGCAAGUAGGACGCAGUUGCGAACGGGUGAGUAACGCGUAGGUAACUGGCUAUUAGAGGGGGAUAACUAUUGGAAACGAUAGCUAAUACCGCAUACUAGUAGAUGGACCUGUUUUGUAUUAGCUAGGAGGUAGGGUAAUGGCCUACCUAGGCAACGAUACAUAGCAGACCUGGGAGGGUGAUCGGCCACACUGGUACUGAGACACGGCCCAGACUCCUACUGUAGGCAGCAGUUGGGACGCUUCGGCAAUUGGGGGAACCCUGACCGAGCAACGCCGCGGGAGUGAAGAAGGUUUUCGGAUCGUAAAGCUCUGUUGUUAAGGAAGCGGUACUUAACCAGAAAGGGACGGCUAACUACGUGCCAGCAGCCGCGGUAAUAC